rnacentral:lncRNA from 1 species
AAAAAAAAAACAACUUCAAAAAGAGGGAGCACAUAAAAGUAACGCCUCAUACCCCUCCACCGACUCACCAGCGAAUUCUACAAGCGCUCUCUAGUGGCAACCGACAUCCCCACGCACAGCACCCUCACACCAGCCACCGCUGUCAUCAUCCCCAGCCCCUCUUCCACCACUGCCACCCUCUCUCUCUGCUGCUCAAUCACCGAUGCUACCCCUGCCACGAAGAAAUCCACGCCGCCAAUAACCUUUACCUCACUGACCGCAUCGAGCAUCCGGGACCACCCCACGUAGACCCUGUAGAACGGGGCUGCUCCGCUGCCACUGGCACACAAUCCUUCACAGAGAGGGUGGCGGCGUCGAUGGAGGGAGGGGGGAGAAGGCUGCUACGGCGAUGGCGGAGGAGAUGGCGACAUCGUCGGAGGAGAGGAGGGGUUGGGGGUUGGUGUUAAAGGAAAUCACAGAAGCAAUCUAAGAACACACAAGAACUCAAAUGAUUAGGAAUCAGAGAGAGAGUAUUAUU